CACGGUCAACAACUAAAUAAUCUCCCCUGAUAUCCUUCACUACACGUAUAUCAUCAUCAAGGUACACAGACUUAAACCAACCCUGUCCAAACGGAGGCAAAGGAAUUUCCCAACUUUUCCCUCUCAGAACAGCACUCGUAAAUCUGAAAUUCACUCUUUGAGAUGAAGCAAUUUCAAUAUUUGACCUGACGAAGAAAACCCCAAAGGGCGGGAAAGUGAUCACGUUGUUGAGAGUCCUUUUCUCAACAUCUAUCACCUGCAAAACGUCGCCCGCUUUGGUACCAAAUAACGGCGCCUUCUCUAUGAUGAAGAGCUGCUCUUUCUCUGUCGUCCAGAGCAAACGCCACGUGGCGGAUAGUGAAUUACCUGUGGUGACCGUACCUUUGCCCUUUUCAGCCAUGGCAUCGAUGGCUUGGAUAAUUGAGGCUCGCUUUUCAGGGUCAUUCUGGGUUUUGAGGCCUCGGUCUUGAUCGGAGAUGAGGCUGAGGAGAUGUUCUUUAGCUGAUUGGGAUUGGGUUGUGGCGGACGAGCAGGUGACUUUAGGACUGUGGAAGGAGGUGGGUUUGGGGGAAUUCUUCGGUUUCAAGUGAAUUGGUAGAAGAAAGCACGUCGCCAUGGGCUUGUGGGUAACGGCAGAAGGGAUAAU
rnacentral:misc_RNA from 1 species